rnacentral:rRNA from 1 species
AGAGUUUGAUCCUGGCUCAGGAUGAACGCUGGCGGCGUGCUUAACACAUGCAAGUCGAACGGAGAUUACUUUUUAGCUUGCUAAGUUGUAAUCUUAGUGGCGGACGGGUGAGUAACGCGUGGGUAACCUGCCUUAUCCAGGGGGAUAACAGUGAGAAAUUACUGCUAAUACCGCAUAAGCGCACAGUUUCGCAUGAAACAGUGUGAAAAGAUUUAUCGGGAUAAGAUGGACCCGCGUCUGAUUAGCUAGUUGGUGAGGUAACGGCCCACCAAGGCGACGAUCAGUAGCCGGCCUGAGAGGGUGAACGGCCACAUUGGGACUGAGACACGGCCCAAACUCCUACGGGAGGCAGCAGUGGGGAAUAUUGCACAAUGGGGGAAACCCUGAUGCAGCGACGCCGCGUGAGUGAAGAAGUAUUUCGGUAUGUAAAGCUCUAUCAGCAGGGAAGAAAAUGACGGUACCUGACUAAGAAGCCCCGGCUAACUACGUGCC